ACAUGCAAGUCGAGGGGCAGCAUCAUCAAAGCUUGCUUUGAUGGAUGGCGACCGGCGCACGGGUGAGUAACACGUAUCCAACCUGCCGACAACACUGGGAUAGCCUUUCGAAAGAAAGAUUAAUACCGGAUGGCAUAAUUAUUCCGCAUGGGAUAAUUAUUAAAGAAUUUCGGUUGUCGAUGGGGAUGCGUUCCAUUAGGCAGUUGGCGGGGUAACGGCCCACCAAACCUACGAUGGAUAGGGGUUCUGAGAGGAAGGUCCCCCACAUUGGAACUGAGACACGGUCCAAACUCCUACGGGAGGCAGCAGUGAGGAAUAUUGGUCAAUGGACGAGAGUCUGAACCAGCCAAGUAGCGUGAAGGAUGACUGCCCUGUGGGUUGUAAACUUCUUUUAUACGGGAAUAAAGUUAGCCACGUGUGGCUUUUUGUAUGUACCGUAUGAAUAAGGAUCGGCUAACUCCGUGCCAGCAGCCGCGGUAAUACGGAGGAUCCGAGCGUUAUCCGGAUUUAUUGGGUUUAAAGGGAGCGUAGGCGGGUUGUUAAGUCAGUUGUGAAAGUUUGCGGCUCAACCGUAAAAUUGCAGUUGAUACUGGCGACCUUGAGUGCAACAGAGGUAGGCGGAAUUCGUGGUGUAGCGGUGAAAUGCUUAGAUAUCACGAAGAACUCCGAUUGCGAAGGCAGCUUACUGGAUUGUAACUGACGCUGAUGCUCGAAAGUGUGGGUAUCAAACAGGAUUAGAUACCCUGGUAGUCCACACAGUAAACGAUGAAUACUCGCUGUUGG
rnacentral:rRNA from 1 species